GACGAACGCUGGCGGCGUGCUUAACACAUGCAAGUCGAACGGAAAGGCCCUGCUUUUGUGGGGUGCUCGAGUGGCGAACGGGUGAGUAACACGUGAGUAACCUGCCCUUGACUUUGGGAUAACUUCAGGAAACUGGGGCCAAUACCGGAUAGGAGCUCCUGCUGCAUGGUGGGGGUUGGAAAGUUUCGGCGGUUGGGGAUGGACUCGCGGCUUAUCAGCUUGUUGGUGGGGUAGUGGCUUACCAAGGCUUUGACGGGUAGCCGGCCUGAGAGGGUGACCGGCCACAUUGGGACUGAGAUACGGCCCAGACUCCUACGGGAGGCAGCAGUGGGGAAUAUUGCACAAUGGGCGGAAGUCUGAUGCAGCAACGCCGCGUGCGGGAUGACGGCCUUCGGGUUGUAAACCGCUUUCGCCUGUGACGAAGCGUGAGUGACGGUAAUGGGUAAAGAAGCACCGGCUAACUACGUG
rnacentral:rRNA from 1 species